GUGAGGUGAAGGGCAGCUCGAGCAGGGCCUGCUGACGGUGCAGAGAAUGAUCGAGAAGCCGCCCUCCUGAGCGCGGAGGCCUGGAGCUUCCUUCUGCGUGGCAGGAGGGCGCUGGCCUGUGGUCCCUCUCAGUGGGGGCGGGAGGAACUGAUCUCUCAGCAUGAAAUGGUCGCCUGGCCUCUGGGAAGGCUCCCAGCAGUCGACGCCCAGGCCAGGCCUGGCCGGCUGCUCCUCCAGCUGCUGCUCCCAGCCGGAGCCAUUUUCCGACCCCAAAGACUUGUCAGCAGGACUAGAAAUGCUUGGACCCUCAAAUGUAACCCCGAAUAUCAGCAGCAGACCCCCCCACCCCUGGGGGAAAAGUCUCCAAUCAGAGAUCCUCUGAGGCGAGCCAAGAGCGGUUUUGGAGGGAGCAGCGCAUAUUUUGAGAAGUGAGAUUGAUUCUUGUCUCUGAUCCUCCUUAGCCUCAACUGUGUACUUCUGAGACAGACUGGGACCUGCGAAGAAAAGGCCAAAACCCAACUGCCACUCUUGAGGUGCAGGAGCAAAAGCAGGGGACUGAGCUUGCACCACAGCACCAUCAAGCGGAUGAGCAGACCACCUAAGCCAGCCCUGAAGCCCGAACCACCGAUGGGCCCCUAUGCUCACCCCAUUUAAGAGACUGGCCCAAAUCAACCCCCCACCCCCUGCCACCCC
ensembl:lncRNA